GACGAACGCUGGCGGCGUGCUUAAUACAUGCAAGUCGAGCGAGGUCCAUCUGGUGGCAACACCAGUGAAGGCCGAGCGGCGAACGGGUGAGUAACACGUGAGCAACCUGCCCCGAAGUCUGGAAUAACAUCGGGAAACCGGUGCUAAUACCGGAUCGCCCCACCUGACCGCAUGAUCGGGUGAGGAAAGAUUUAUCGCUUCGGGAGGGGCUCGCGGCCUAUCAGCAGUUGGUGGGGUAACGGCCUACCAAGGCGUCGACGGGUAGCUGGUCUGAGAGGACGACCAGCCACACUGGGACUGAGACACGGCCCAGACUCCUACGGGAGGCAGCAGUAGGGAAUCUUGCGCAAUGGGCGAAAGCCUGACGCAGCAACGCCGCGUGGGGGAUGACGGCC
rnacentral:rRNA from 1 species